AGCAUCCUACGGGAGGCAGCAGUGAGGAAUAUUGGUCAAUGGGCGGGAGCCUGAACCAGCCAAGUCGCGUGAGGGAAGACGGUCCUAUGGAUUGUAAACCUCUUUUGUCGGGGAGCAAAGAGGCCACGUGUGGUCAAAAGCGAGAGUACCCGAAGAAAAAGCAUCGGCUAACUCCGUGCCAGCAGCCGCGGUAAUACGGAGGAUGCGAGCGUUAUCCGGAUUUAUUGGGGUUAAAGGGUGCGUAGGCGGGACGGUAAGUCAGCGGUAAAAAUGCUGAGCUUAA
rnacentral:rRNA from 1 species